AUUGAACGCUGGCGGCAGGCCUAACACAUGCAAGUCGAGCGAGCGGCGGACGGGUGAGUAAUGUCUGGGAAACUGCCUGAUGGAGGGGGAUAACUACUGGAAACGGUAGCUAAUACCGCAUACCAUCAGAUGUGCCCAGAUGGGAUUAGCUAGUGGGUGGGGUAACGGCUCACCUAGGCGACGCUCCCUAGCUGGUCUGUGAGGAUGACCAGCCACCAUGGAACUGGGGAACGGUCCAGACUCCUACGGGAGGCAGCAGUGGGGAAUAUUGCACAUGGGGCGCAAGCCGAAUGCAGCCAUGCCGCGUGUGGGAAGAAGGCCUUCGGGUUGUAAAGCACUUUCAGCGGGGAGGCGUUACCCGCAGAAGAAGCACCGGCUAACUCCGUGCCAGCAGCCGCGGUAAUUC
rnacentral:rRNA from 1 species